GGGCCGUUCGCCAAGAUGGUCUAAGGCACCGGAUUUUGAUUCCGGCAUUCGCACGUUCGAAUCGUGCACGGCUUU
rnacentral:tRNA from 1 species